rnacentral:rRNA from 1 species
AUUGAACGCUGGCGGCAGGCCUAACACAUGCAGGUCGAGCGGAUGAAGGGAGCUUGCUCCUGGAUUCAGCGGCGGACGGGUGAGUAAUGCCUAGGAAUCUGCCUGGUAGUGGGGGAUAACGUCCGGAAACGGGCGCUAAUACCGCAUACGUCCUGAGGGAGAAAGUGGGGGAUCUUCGGACCUCACGCUAUCAGAUGAGCCUAGGUCGGAUUAGCUAGUUGGUGGGGUAAAGGCCUACCAAGGCGACGAUCCGUAACUGGUCUGAGAGGAUGACCAGUCACACUGGAACUGAGACACGGUCCAGACUCCUACGGGAGGCAGCAGUGGGGAAUAUUGGACAAUGGGCGAAAGCCUGAUCCAGCCAUGCCGCGUGUGUGAAGAAGGUCUUCGGAUUGUAAAGCACUUUAAGUUGGGAGGAAGGGCAGUAAGUUAAUACCUUGCUGUUUUGACGUUACCAACAGAAUAAGCACCGGCUAACUUCGUG